rnacentral:rRNA from 1 species
UACGUAGGGUGCGAGCGUUGUCCGGAAUUACUGGGCGUGAAGAGCUCGUAGGUGGUUUGUCGCGUUGUCCGUGAAAACUCACAACUCAAUUGUGGGCGUGCGGGCGAUACGGGCAGACUGGAGUACUGCAGGGGAGACUGGAAUUCCUGGUGUAGCGGUGGAAUGCGCAGAUAUCAGGAGGAACACCGGUGGCGAAGGCGGGUCUCUGGGCAGUAACUGACGCUGAGGAGCGAAAGCGUGGGGAGCGAACAGG